rnacentral:rRNA from 1 species
UACGUAGGGAGCAAGCGUUGUUCGGAUUUACUGGGCGUAAAGGGCGCGUAGGCGGCCUGUCAAGUCAGUUGUGAAAUCUCCGGGCUUAACUCGGAACGGGCAAUUGAUACUGUCAGGCUAGAGUGCAGAAAGGGCAAUCGGAAUUCUUGGUGUAGCGGUGAAAUGCGUAGAUAUCAAGAGGAACACCUGAGGCGAAGGCGGGUUGCUAGGCUGACACUGACGCUGAGGCGCGAAAGCCAGGGGAGCAAGCGGG